rnacentral:tRNA from 1 species
ACUUUCAAAGGAUGGGAGUUAUCCGUUGGUCUUAGGAGCCAAAAAAU